rnacentral:lncRNA from 1 species
GGAGGCGCCACCUCCGCCUCUCGUUUGGGCGACGUGGCGCGCAUCGGGCGGGGACUCGUCUCGCCUUCCUCCUCCACCACCACCACCGGACGAGAAACAGAGAGGGCCAAUAGAAAAAUCCCCUCUUUUCCAUCAAUCAAUCGCGUGGAGGAAAAGAGAGGAAGAAGGAGGAAGGAACCGACGAACCACAAGCUAAUCCUCUCCCCUCCGCUCCAAUCCUCGCCGCCUCCCUCGCCGGGACGCUACGCCACGGUACGGUACGGUGCGCCGCCUCUUCUUCCCCCUUAUCCCCUCCCCUCCUCUCGGAGAGGAACCGGCCCAACCCAACGCAACCGAAUCGAAUCCGGGGGAGGGGCGGCUGUUCAUCUAUAGAUAGAUUGAUUGGUCCCAAAUCGAAUCCUUCUCGUUGAUUAGGAGGAGGAUUAGGUGCUCUGUUUUCGUUGCCGCGGUUGGUUCCGCCGUUGCUCUCUUUUGUUCGCUUCCUGCCAUGGUUUCCUGUCUUCUUCCUCCCGCGGAUUGGGGUUCUGACUCCUGACCGGUCUCCCUCUCCUUCUUCUUCUUGCAGCGCGGGAUCAGCAAUAAAGCAGAGGAAUUUCGGGCGGAGGAGCUCAGGGAUCUCGUUGCUCCUUCUUCUACUUCUUCUUCUUGAUUGAUCGGCUGGUAGGCGCGCGGGCCGGGCGGAUCCAGCGGCAGCCAUGAUGAUGGUGGACACGGUCAGCGCCAGCACCUCCUUCAUCGCGCGCCACCCCUUCGACCACCACCGGCCCCGCCGGACGCUGCUCCACGUCGUCAGCUGCCGCCCCCUCCGCACGCCCUUCGCGGGCCGCCGUCUCGUGGCCCGGGUGCCCAGGCCGGAGCGGCAGCGGCUCGCGGACUGGCCCGUCAGGGCGCUGGCAGCCGUCGGGUUCACCAAGGAGGCCGUCCCGCGGAAGGAGUUCCGGGGGAUCCCCGGGGACGGCGACAACGGAUUAAGGACCGACGACGACGCCCCCCCAGCGGCGACGCCGUCCUGGCCACCGCGGAACAGGGCGGACGACCCCAGCCUGCACAACCCGCUGCUGCGUCUCGAGCGGAUGGGCUGUGGCUGGGUCGGCGUCAUCUUCGAGUGGGAGGGCGUGGUGGUGGAGGACGACACGCGGUUGGAGCGGCAGGCGUGGCUGACCCUUGCCGAGGAGGAGAGCAAGUCGCCGCCGCCCGCGUUCGUCCUCCGGCGGGUCGAGGGGAUGAAGGCAGAGCACGCCGUCUCCGAGGUGCUCUGCUGGUCCCGGGACCCCUCUGAGCUGCGGCGCCUGGCGGCCCGCAAGGAGGAGAUCCAUGGCGGGCUCCGCGGCGCCGCCAGCCAGAUGCGGGACGGGUCGAGGGAGUUCAUGAGCACGCUGGUCAACUACAAGAUCCCCCUCGCCGUCGCCUCCACGAGGCCCCGCAAGGCCGUGGAGGCGGCCAUCGAGGCCGUCGGCGCGCGUGGGUUCUUCGACGCCGUGGUGGCGGCGGAGGACGUGUACCGGGGCAAGCCCGACCCGGAGCUGUUCCUCUACGCCGCGCAGCUGCUGGGCUUCAUCCCCGAGCGCUGCGUCGUGUUCGGCAACUCCAACUCUGCCGUGGAGGCCGCGCACGACGCCCGCAUGAAGUGCGUGGCCGUCGCAAGCAAGCACCCCGUCUACGAGCUCGGAGCCGCCGACCUUGUUGUGAAGCGGCUCGAUGAGCUCUCCAUUGUUGACCUCAAGAACCUCGCCGACAUCGACUCCCCUGAGUUUGGCAUGGAGCCUGAGCCGGAGAUGGAGGAGGAGGAGGACGAGGCGCCACCGUCGACCGCCGUGGGUGUCGACGAUAUAUUCUUGUAGGAGGAGACUCAGGAGCCGCCGGUAUGUAUGUACAUUUGAUUUGGGUUGGCCCUUCUCCUGCUGCACGUGUGUAUGAUGGAUAAUUCAUGAUAGCGAUCAGGAAGGAAGGAAGGGCUUUAUUAUCUAUCCUUCUAAUCCGUGUUAGGUUGUGUUAUGUACAUGGAAUGUAUCUUUAGAACUCACACAAACUGUAUAUAUACUUGGAAAAAAAAUGGGUACUAUAUAUACGUCGGUGCAUCUGAACUGCAUUACCUUCCUGGUGUGGAUGGUGUAAUAGCUCAGAAGAAGGAACAUAUGUUUAUUUGCAGUGAAUAACAGAACUACAUAUGCUACUUGUUCCUACUUUUGAGCAGUAAUCUCGUUCGCUUUAGGUCUUUUAUACGAAACCAAAG